UCCAUUAUACAAAUUAAGCCGGUAUUGGAUCGCUAUUGAAUUUCAGACGCUAUAAUCGAUAUUGCUUCAAAAAUCAUUCUCAGUGAAUUCUGAUUUAUUUUUGGUAUUGUAUUGAAGGUUUUCCAACACAGACUUGAUGGUUCUGUUAAUUUCCAAAGAAACUUUUCAGAGUAUGAAAACGGAUUUGGGGACAUCAAUGGCGAAUUCUGGCUCGGACUUAAAUUCGUUCAAAAACUGACAGAAAUGCCGAGUGAAUUAAAAUAUGAAAUUACGUUUUCAAAUGAUGGUGAACAGCCAUGGAACGAACGAUUCAGUCGGUUUCAACUCGUUGGCCCUCGGUACGUGCUCUCCAUAGACGAUCGCCUCUACAGUGCAGGUAACAAUUAUGGGGAAACGUUCGCGACCUUCAAUGAAUCUCCAUUUGUAGCACUUGCUGAGGAUCCUUCAACGUCUUGUCUUAGUGGCGACCAAAUGUGGUGGUCGUUUACCGCUCAAACGUGUGACUACGUCCUUAACCUAAACAUUGUGUACGGGACGAAGACAAAAAUAAGGUGGGCGCCUGAAUCAGACAGCUAUAGAAUUCUAAAGGCUUCAACAAUGAUGAUCAGAAGAAUAUGAAAAUUAUUCCGAACAGGAAAAUAAACAUAGUGGCUCCAUAUUCACAAAAGGAUGUCUGGAUCAGGUUAAAUGAUUUUCAACCAAACUGAGCCUGCAAUAUUUUUAAUUUUGUCAUUUUGAACAUUCUUUGAGAUUCAUUUUUUUCUAAACUAAAAUUGAUAGCAUUUGACUAGAAUCAAAUUUACGCAUACACAAUAUAUAAAAAUGCUCAUUUGCGAAGAAACAACUUUAUUUUGGAAAACUUUAUUAAUUUUUGGAAUUAAAAUUGAGUAAUUACAAUACUAAUAAUAUUUGUCAUAUAAUACAAAUCGGAUCGAAAUAUUUGUCCCGAGGUAAA